GUGGGGAAUUUUGGACAAUGGGCGAAAGCCUGAUCCAGCCAUGCCGCGUGCAGGAUGAAGGCCUUCGGGUUGUAAACUGCUUUUGUACGGAACGAAAAGACUCCUUCUAAUAAAGGGGGUCCAUGACGGUACCGUAAGAAUAAGCACCGGCUAACUACGUGCCAGCAGCCGCGGUAAUACGUAGGGUGCAAGCGUUAAUCGGAAUUACUGGGCGUAAAGCGUGCGCAGGCGGUUAUAUAAGACAGAUGUGAAAUCCCCGGGCUCAACCUGGGAACUGCAGUUGUGACUGUAUAGCUAGAGUACGGUAGAGGGGGAUGGAAUUCCGCGUGUAGCAGUGAAAUGCGUAGAUAUGCGGAGGAACACCGAUGGCGAAGGCAAUCCCCUGGACCUGUACUGACGCUCAUGCACGAAAGCGUGGGGAGCAAACAGGAUUAGAUACCCUGGUAGUCC
rnacentral:rRNA from 1 species